rnacentral:rRNA from 1 species
AUUGAACGCUGGCGGCAGGCCUAACACAUGCAAGUCGAGCGGAUGAAGGUAGCUUGCUACCUGAUUCAGCGGCGGACAGGUGAGUAAUGCCUAGGAAUCUGCCUGGUAGUGGGGGACAACGUUUCGAAAGGAACGCUAAUACCGCAUACGUCCUACGGGAGAAAGUGGGGGAUCUUCGGACCUCACGCUAUCAGAUGAGCCUAGGUACGAUUAGCUAGUUGGUGAGGUAAAGGCUCACCAAGGCGACGAUCGUUAACUGGUCUGAGAGGAUGAUCAGUCACACCGGAACUGAGACACGGUCCAGACUCCUACGGGAGGCAGCAGUGGGGAAUAUUGGACAAUGGGCGAAAGCCUGAUCCAGCCAUGCCGCGUGUGUGAAGAAGGUCUUCGGAUUGUAAAGCACUUUAAGUUGGGAGGAAGGGCAGUAAGUUAAUACCUUGCUGUUUUGACGUUACCGACAGAAUAAGCACCGGCUAACUUCGUGCCAGCCGCCGCGGUAAUAC